GGUUAAGCGACUAAGCGUACACGGUGGAUGCCCUGGCAGUCAGAGGCGAUGAAGGACGUGCUAAUCUGCGAAAAGCGCCGGCGAGGUGAUAUGAACCCUUGACCCGGCGAUGUCCGAAUGGGGAAACCCAGUGUGUUCCGACACACUAUCGUUAACUGAAUACAUAGGUUAACGAGGCGAACCGGGGGAACUGAAACAUCUAAGUACCCCGAGGAAAAGAAAUCAACCGAGAUUCCCCCAGUAGCGGCGAGCGAACGGGGAGCAGCCCGGAGUCUGAAUCAGCUUGUGUGUUAGUGGAACGGUCUGGAAAGUCCGACGGUACAGGGUGAUAGUCCCGUACACGAAAAUGCACAUGCUGUGAACUCGAAGAGUAGGGCGGGACACGUGGUAUCCUGUCUGAAUAUGGGGGGACCAUCCUCCAAGGCUAAAUACUCCUGACUGACCGAUAGUGAACCAGUACCGUGAGGGAAAGGCGAAAAGAACCCCGGCGAGGGGAGUGAAAAAGAACCUGAAACCGUGUACGUACAAGCAGUGGGAGCACCUUCGGGUGUGACUGCGUACCUUUUGUAUAAUGGGUCAGCGACUUAUAUUCUGUAGCAAGGUUAACCGUAUAGGGGAGCCGAAGGGAAACCGAGUCUUAACUGGGCGUUAAGUUGCAGGGUAUAGACCCGAAACCCGGUGAUCUAGCCAUGGGCAGGUUGAAGGUUGGGUAACACUAACUGGAGGACCGAACCGACUAAUGUUGAAAAAUUAGCGGAUGACCUGUGGCUGGGGGUGAAAGGCCAAUCAAACCGGGAGAUAGCUGGUUCUCCCCGAAAGCUAUUUAGGUAGCGCCUCGUGAACUCAUCUUCGGGGGUAGAGCACUGUUUCGGCUAGGGGGCCAUCCCGGCUUACCAACCCGAUGCAAACUACGAAUACCGAAGAAUGUUAUCACGGGAGACACACGGCGGGUGCUAACGUCCGUCGUGAAGAGGGAAACAACCCAGACCGCCAGCUAAGGUCCCAAAGUCAUGGUUAAGUGGGAAACGAUGUGGGAAGGCACAGACAGCCAGGAUGUUGGCUUAGAAGCAGCCAUCAUUUAAAGAAAGCGUAAUAGCUCACUGGUCGAGUCGGCCUGCGCGGAAGAUGUAACGGGGCUAAACCAUGCACCGAAGCUGCGGCAGCGACACUAUGUGUUGUUGGGUAGGGGAGCGUUCUGUAAGCCGUUGAAGGUGUGCUGUGAGGCAUGCUGGAGGUAUCAGAAGUGCGAAUGCUGACAUAAGUAACGAUAAAGCGGGUGAAAAGCCCGCUCGCCGGAAGACCAAGGGUUCCUGUCCAACGUUAAUCGGGGCAGGGUGAGUCGACCCCUAAGGCGAGGCCGAAAGGCGUAGUCGAUGGGAAACAGGUUAAUAUUCCUGUACUUGGUGUUACUGCGAAGGGGGGACGGAGAAGGCUAUGUCAGCCGGGCGACGGUUGUCCCGGUUUAAGCAUGUAGGCGGAGGUUCCAGGUAAAUCCGGUACCUUGUUAACGCUGAGGUGUGAUGACGAGGCACUACGGUGCUGAAGUGAUAAAUGCCCUGCUUCCAGGAAAAGCCUCUAAGCAUCAGGUAACACGAAAUCGUACCCCAAACCGACACAGGUGGUCAGGUAGAGAAUACCAAGGCGCUUGAGAGAACUCGGGUGAAGGAACUAGGCAAAAUGGUGCCGUAACUUCGGGAGAAGGCACGCUGAUAUGUAGGUGAAGUCCCUGCGGACGGAGCUGAAAUCAGUCGAAGAUACCAGCUGGCUGCAACUGUUUAUUAAAAACACAGCACUGUGCAAACACGAAAGUGGACGUAUACGGUGUGACGCCUGCCCGGUGCCGGAAGGUUAAUUGAUGGGGUUAGCGGCAACGCGAAGCUCUUGAUCGAAGCCCCGGUAAACGGCGGCCGUAACUAUAACGGUCCUAAGGUAGCGAAAUUCCUUGUCGGGUAAGUUCCGACCUGCACGAAUGGCGUAAUGAUGGCCAGGCUGUCUCCACCCGAGACUCAGUGAAAUUGAACUCGCUGUGAAGAUGCAGUGUACCCGCGGCAAGACGGAAAGACCCCGUGAACCUUUACUAUAGCUUGACACUGAACACUGGUCCUUGAUGUGUAGGAUAGGUGGGAGGCUUUGAAGCGUGGACGCCAGUCUGCGUGGAGCCGCCCUUGAAAUACCACCCUUUAAUGGCUGGUGUUCUAACGUAGACCCGUGAUCCGGGUUGCGGACAGUGUCUGGUGGGUAGUUUGACUGGGGCGGUCUCCUCCCAAAGAGUAACGGAGGAGCACGAAGGUUGGCUAAUCCUGGUCGGACAUCAGGAGGUUAGUGCAAUGGCAUAAGCCAGCUUGACUGCGAGCGUGACGGCGCGAGCAGGUGCGAAAGCAGGUCAUAGUGAUCCGGUGGUUCUGAAUGGAAGGGCCAUCGCUCAACGGAUAAAAGGUACUCCGGGGAUAACAGGCUGAUACCGCCCAAGAGUUCAUAUCGACGGCGGUGUUUGGCACCUCGAUGUCGGCUCAUCACAUCCUGGGGCUGAAGUAGGUCCCAAGGGUAUGGCUGUUCGCCAUUUAAAGUGGUACGCGAGCUGGGUUUAGAACGUCGUGAGACAGUUCGGUCCCUAUCUGCCGUGGGCGCUGGAGAAUUGAGGGGGGCUGCUCCUAGUACGAGAGGACCGGAGUGGACGCAUCACUGGUGUUCGGGUUGUCAUGCCAAUGGCACUGCCCGGUAGCUAAAUGCGGAAGAGAUAAGUGCUGAAAGCAUCUAAGCACGAAACUUGCCCCGAGAUGAGUUCUCCCUGAGACCUUGAGUCUCCUGAAGGAACGUUGAAGACGACGACGUUGAUAGGUCGGGUGUGUAAGCGCAGCGAUGCGUUGAGCUAACCGAUACUAAUGAACCGUGAGGCUUAACCUU
rnacentral:rRNA from 1 species